rnacentral:rRNA from 1 species
UGAGGAACAUGACCUUCGGCGGGGGAUAGCCGGCCCAACGGCCGGGUAAUACCGCGUACGACCACUUUGGGACAUCCCUCGGUGGUGAAAGCAGCAAUGCGCCGAUGGAGUGCCUCGCGGCCUAUCAGCUAGUUGGUGAGGUAACGGCUCACCAAGGCGACGACGGGUAGCUGGUCUGAGAGGAUGGCCAGCCACAGUUGGGACUGAGACACGGCCCAGACCUCCGUACGGGGAGCAG